ensembl:lncRNA
CCUGAAGAUAGCCAUAAGUCUUUCUACUGCCCUAGGAUGUGCACUGAAAUGACUGCAAGACAGGCACAUCUUUUGCAUCCUAAACAGCAGCCUUUAUUUAUCAAAACACACAGAACAUGCAAUGGAGAGUCAAAACAAAGCAAAACCAGCAAUUCCAACAAUCCUCAGAAAACUUUGUUCCGAAUUGAGCAGUAUGUCCUGCUCAUAGAUGGACGUUCCAUUGCCUGUUUAGCAAAUGCCCCUCAUUUUCUUAACUUAAAAUCAUGCCUUAAGAAAAUUAUUUCAUCAGCAUUUAUACAUAGACACCCAUGAAGUUUUCAACAUAGUCUUGAAUUUGUGGUUUAACCUUCAUGAAGCAUACUGUUAUUUUCAAGGAUAAAUUUGAAGCACAACCUCAUUUUAAAGUAUAUGUGGAAAAUACUGAGCUUGUCAGCAAUAAAUACCUCAGCGUAUAGAAAUUUCGCAAAGGAAAAAACCCACAAAAAUGCCAAAACAAUUACAGAAAAGCAGAUACUAUCAUCCUUACAUUUGCAGAAUAACAAUUCUAACUGAACGUCCUCUGCCUUUUGCUAGUACUGUGUGAUAUACAUAAUAUUUGCAAACGUGUACACGUAUAUAUUUUCCAUAUCUGCAUGCUACAUAAGAAGGUCCUGAUAUUUAAACAAAGCAGAGACAAAACCUAACAAGGUGUCUCUCAACCAGUGAGGACACAAAUCCCUCUCUAAGGGCCUGGGGCAGCGUGCCUCAAAUGCUAAUAGCUUGAGUUGUGUGCAAUAGCCCUAUAUUGUUUAUAUAGCACUUCACAUGUUCAAAGCACUAUGAGAUAUCAGCCAUCACUACACUUUUACGAGGCUCUAAGUAUUACCCACUAAAUGUUAGGGUUCAAAUGACUUGCUCUUGAUCAAAAGAAACUUUGUGCAGCAGGACCAUAAUUAUUUGAAUUCAGUAAUUCUGACAGUCCAUUCCUAUAGUGACAAAAAAAAAGGGGGGGGGAGGGGGAAAUGGGAUAUUUAAAGCCAGUUGCAACUGCACUUUGUUCUGGCUAUGUUAAGUACAGGCAAUGUAGAAUCCCAAAGCUAACUCUCACAAAAAACAGCACCUCCAAAGAAAAUGAGAACUUCAAUGAUUUUUUUCCAUUUUAAAAGCACAAAUACAAAAACUGUUUUUUAAAGAAUUGGUCAUGUUUCUCUGAGUAUAUGUAUGUCAUUAUCACCGUGAAGAACCUAAAAUACUGUACAGAAACAGACCAGAAAACUUAAUAUGCGAGUCAUAUCAUCUGCUCUGAAACAGGUUCUCCUUUUUUGCUGCUGCUGUUUUGAUAAAGGUUUGGUUUUGAUUUUUUCUUCUUCCUUUAAAAAUCAGGAGGAGGAGCAGGCAAAGACCAAGGCAACUCGUGAUAGGACUUAAAUCACUACCCUUUAGUGAUACAUAAUAUCUUCCCAUUUUUAGACAGAUGUUCAUUCUAUGGAAACCUCAGUUGCCAUCGCUGAUACUUAUUAACUUAGAGUCAAAAUAUCAAGUCUCCCUUCCCAUGAAGGAAACACAAUGGAGCCGAUGGUGAAAACCAGCCAGUCACAGUUUUGCUACCUAAAACUAAAUCCUUCCUUGAAAUAAGGAAAGCGGUGCUCAGGGACAUGAUUUAGCAGAAGGUUGUUAGAGUUAGGGUAGUAUGGUUAGGUUGCUGUUGGACUUGAUGAUCUUUCAGGUCUUUUCCAACCUGAGCAAUUCUAUGAUUCUAGGAUUCUAAUAAAGGCUGAACUGGAUCGAUACUGAAGAUUUUUGUACUUACAGCUUAAAAAUCUUCAUGCAAAAAACAUAAAUAUUGAGAUUUCAAAAUGAGAGAAUGAAAACUUUUUUUUUAACUUUGCAUUUAGCACACAUCCUAUCAUACACAACUUACUUUCCAACAUCUUACAUUUAAACUUGCAUAUAUUGCCUUUCGUUUCCAUACAUACCAUAUGUUUUCAGAACACAGCCUCACAGUUACUGGCAUUCAAAUCUUAUCUGCAGGAUGACAUGGGAAAUAUGUAGUACUGAGACAAAAAUGUAGGCCUCUACACACAAUUCAGAUUCAACAAAUAAGAGAAGUGCUCCUGUUUAAGCAGGGGGAGGGUAAGAAAUUCCCUUCAAAAGCAGUACAUAGUACAGAGUUUAAAAACAUGUAACUAUGUUUCCAUAGGUUGACAGCAAUACAAAAACAUUUGAUCACCUAGCUGAAAAAUACUGGCCUUUAGCAUUACUGCAGAGGUAAUUAGAAGCCAUACUUCAACCAACUGCAGAAACAACUGCAGUUAGUGUUUGUAUAACACAAUUAGAGUCUUAUAUUACAGUGAAGGUUAUUGGGUUCUCUUCUUGCAAUUUUUAAGAUCAAAGAAGAAAUGAACACUUUUCAUUUUGUCAGGUAAAGACCUUCCUUUUGAUGGCUGUACAGAGUCUUUACUUCCAGC